rnacentral:rRNA from 1 species
GCCUACGGGGCGCAGCAGUGGGGAAUAUUGCACAAUGGGGGAAACCCUGAUGCAGCGACGCCGCGUGAGGGAAGAAGGUUUUCGGAUUGUAAACCUCUGUGGAGGGGGACGAUAAUGACGGUACCCCUUUAGGAAGCCACGGCUAACUACGUGCCAGCAGCCGCGGUAAUACGUAGGUGGCGAGCGUUGUCCGGAAUUACUGGGUGUAAAGGGCGUGCAGCCGGAGAGGCAAGUCAGAUGUGAAAUCCGCGGGCUCAACUCGCGAACUGCAUUUGAAACUGCUUCCCUUGAGUAUCG